rnacentral:rRNA from 1 species
UGAGGAAUAUUGGUCAAUGGGCGCAAGCCUGAACCAGCCAUCCCGCGUGCAGGAAGACGGCCCUAUGGGUUGUAAACUGCUUUUCCAGGGGGAGAAUUUUUCUGUCGUGACAGGAAUUGACGGUACCCUGGGAAUAAGCAUCGGCUAACUCCGUGCCAGCAGCCGCGGUAAUACGGAGGAUGCGAGCGUUAUCCGGAUUUAUUGGGUUUAAAGGGUGCGUAGGCGGAUUGAUAAAUCAGUGGUGAAAACCUGCAGCUUAACUGUAGACUUGCCGUUGUUACUGUCAGUCUUGAGUGUGGUCAAGGUAGGCGGAAUGUGUAAUGUAGCGGUGAAAUGCUUAGAUAUUACACAGAACACCGAUUGCGAAGGCAGCUUACUGGGCCAUUACUGACGCUGAUGCGCGA